rnacentral:lncRNA from 1 species
CGAAGAGCAGGCAUUUAUCACCCAUGUGGCUUAUUUAUCUAACCUGCAAGUAGUAUAAGAAAGAUGCUUCGUUUUCAAAAAUCAAUUUUUAUUAACAUUAUAUUCAUAGAAUUCCCAUUUGGCUCUAAGCAUCUUCCGCGUCCUAAAGCAUGGUGUGGGCAUUCACAUGCUGCUGGCCUCCCUCGAAUUCCUUGGGAAGACAGGCAUCUGUGCUAAGGACAGAGGGGCCUCUGAGGGACCUAGCAGCCCAGCCAAGGGGGCCUGAAUCACACAGGUUGUGGACAGGACACACCGGCAGUGGAACCCCGUGCAAGCGGCCUCGGUGUCCUGAGUGGGGGCCUGUACAGCCGCCUCAGGAGUCAUUCAGGGCUUUUCUCCAUGCAUUGUUGAGUUUUCCUUUCUCUGUCUCUUUUCUAAACACUUCCACCUCUAUCGACUGAGAAGUGUGAUUGGGAGCCCUCACUCUCCUCCCUAAGGCUCUUUUGCUGGAGUCUGGAGAAAGCCUUCUCACAUGCAGUCAGGGACGUGCUGUGCAACUAGAGAAAGUGCGUGGUGAGCAGGGGCUCAGCAGCUGAGUCCGAGGAGUGAGUGCAGAUGAAGGCCGCUGGCUUUCUGGGAUUCUUGAUAUGAAAUUCCACAAGAAUAACGAAGACGAUGACCUUUUUAAGGUCAAAGAGAUAUUAAUUCAAUGUUUUCAUUUUACUGUUGAAGACACUGGGACCCACAGAGGUGAAGUGACCUGCCCACAAUCCUGCUGCAGUCACCAGCACUCUGUGGUCAGAAGCUGUCCCUGGCGGCUGGGGGACGCACCUGCUCUUACUCUCCUUCUGCACUGGUCCAGCUGCCAUCGGUUCUUCUGGCUAAACUGUGUCUUAACCACAAAGCGUUCAUGUCUGUGUGGUGCAGAGUUGAACUGAGAAAUAUAGGAAAGUGAUGUAAGAUAUGGUCCACCUGUCAGUAAAACAACCAGAACUGUCUGUGGAAUGGUGCACCAUGGAAACCAGAGAACGAAAAACAGAAUCC